ACAGGGAUUGCCCCAGUAACGGCGAGUGAAGCGGCAUAGCUCAGAUUUGAAAUCUGGCCCCGUCGGGGUCCGAGUUGUAAUCUGCAGAGAGUGCUUCGGGCGAGACCGCGGUCUAAGUCCCUUGGAACAUGGCCUCAGAGAGGGUGAGAAUCCCGUAUGCGACCGUGGCUCGAGCCCGUGUGAAGCCUCUUCGAAGAGUCGAGUUGUUUGGGAAUGCAGCUCAAAGUGGGUGGUAAAUUUCAUCUAAAGCUAAAUACUGGCUGGAGACCGAUAGCGCACAAGUAGAGUGAUCGAAAGAUGAAAAGCACUUUGGAAAGAGAGUCAAAAAGUACGUGAAAUUGUUGAAAGGGAAGCGCUUGCAACCAGACCUGCCCGUAGGCGAUCAGCCGCUGUUCUCAGCGGUGCACUCGCUCUGCGAUCAGGCCAGCAUCGGUUUCGGCGGUUGGAUAAAGGCCUUGGGAAUGUAGCUCCCCUUCGGGGGAGUCUUAUAGCCCUCGGUGCAAUGCGGCCAGCCGAGACCGAGGACCGCGCUUCGGCUAGGAUGCUGGCGUAAUGGUUGUAAGCGACCCGUCUUGAAACACGGACCAAGGAGUCUAACAUCGAUGCGAGUGUUUGGGUGUAAAACCCAUGCGCGGAAUGAAAGUGAACGGAGGUGAGAACCCUGAAGGGCGCAUCAUCGACCGAUCCAGAUGUCUUCGGAUGGAUUUGAGUAUGAGCAUCGCUGUUGGGACCCGAAAGGUAAACCUGCACUUGCUCGAUAUCACAGAAUCUAUGCUAAUAUUUUGACCAGAUGGUGAACUAUGCCUGAAUAGGGUGAAGUCAGAGGAAACUCUGGUGGAGGCUCGCAGCGGUUCUGACGUGCAAAUCGAUCGUCAAAUUUGGGUAUAGGGCGAAAGA
rnacentral:rRNA from 1 species